GACUGGCAGCUUUGCUUGUGGGCUGUAGUGCUGGUAUAUAAACUCCAAAGGCAAUUACCUGUAACAUCUUAAGUACACUAGUAUGGUGGAGGAGGGCCAUUCCAAGGCGGAGGUGGUCUAUAUGAAUCAAAAUAUGGUGGUGGAGGGGGUCCAGGAGGGCCGGGAGGUGGUGGAAAAGCAUGAGGAGGCGGUGGUGGUGGUGGACCAGCUGGUGGAUGAUGGUGAUGUGGUGGUGGAGGAGGUGGCGCAUAGUACUCAGGACGAGGUGGCGGAGGUGGUGGCGGUGCACCAUACACGUGUGGUGGUGGUGGUGGUGGUGCAAAAGGGUCCCAUGGGGGAGGUGGUGGUGCAAAAGGGUCUUGUGGAGGCGGCGGCGGUGCAGAAGGGUGUGGUGGGUGCCUACGGAAUGCCAUUGUUGUGAUAGAAAAACCUAUUCAUCCACUAAAUGCUGAUGUUAGUCAGGAUCUGGAUUGGAUUUGCUCAUAUAGAAUGGAAUUGAAGGACUUGAAAAGGAAGUUUCCAGAUGUAAUUAAUUCAUUUGAGACUGUUAGUUGGAUUACUGGCAGAUUAAACGUGUGCACAUUUUUCUUUUCCAGGAAAGAAUUCCAUUGCUCAAUAAUAUCAAUUUUCUUUUACAGGUGUGGAGCUCUCAAUUUUUUGCUUGUCUUUGUCAAGGUUAGGUGGUAUGAGCAUUUUCUACUGGUAAGGCUCACAAUAGCCACGUAUCGAAUUAUAAAAUUAUUUCUCAAACCAAAAAAAUAAUUUAAAUAUUUCGAUUGAAAAUUCAACUAAAUGUGAGCAGAAAGAUAUCUAAUGACUAGCCGUUUCACGCAGCUUAUGCGUAGGUUUUUUCUUUCCUUAUUUUUUUAAGCUAAAAGUUGGGUCAUAUACGAAUUUUGAAAAACAAUUUUUAUUAAAUUAGAAAUUCAUUUUUGGAAGUUAGAAAUUGAAAUUUAAAUUAACUAUAGUUUUCAAAAGAGUUAUAAAUAAAUUCGUAGAUAAAUUCAAUAAAAAAUUUUAAUUAACGAUAUAAAUAUUUUUUUUGAAAGUUAAUUAAUGAUAUAAAUAUUGAAUUUAUCUUAUUUUUAGAUUUUAAACAAAAUACACAUGUUGUUUAAACAUAUAAUGUGCUUUAUUUUUAACAAGUUAUUUACUUUAAAGUAAUUAUUCUAUUAUUCCCAGUAAAACUUCAAGUGUUGAAUUGUCUUAAGACAACAUGAUAUAGUCGAUUGAUAGUCAAUUUCAAUUUAACAUCAUUUAACAUCCUUGAAAUUAAAUUCAUUUCCCAGUUAUUCUAAAAAAAAAAUAUAAUUUUUUUUAAAAAGUAAAGUACACCAAUGACGUUUCAAAUUUAUUUGUUGAACAAAUCCAACAACAACGCACGAGUACUUAAUUAUAAAAAACAUUAUGUAAUAUAUCAUCAAUAGAAUUUAAAAAUUUCAUCGAAUAUUUUAGAAGAUUGUCAUAUACUUGCACCCGAUCAUUUGACUCGUUAAUUGGUGCAUUAUCCUUUCCCUAAAGAAUAGAGUUCAAAUCUCUUUCCCUAAUUAUAAAAAAAAAUUAUCAUAUACUUCAUUAAAAUAUAUUUAAAAAUUUUAAUUAAUUAAUAUAAUAAAUAAAAAGCCAUGAAAUAAUUUUCUUACAAUAUAUAUAAUAAGUUCUUAAUUAUAAUUUAUAAUAAAGCUCAAACACUUGAAAGUAAUAUUUAUGGAUUUUUGAUGAAAUAAGAUGCGAACCACGGUUGGCAUAAUAAUAAUAUGAAAUUGAUGAUAAUUAUGAAUAAUGAGAAUCUCCGUAUGCAUUUAUCAAUGUACUUUGUAUAUUGGUCGAAACUAUAUGAAUUAAUUAGUUAUGAUUAUUUGUAGUGUGCUAUUAUAUCUGUCAAUAGUAGGAUGCUGGCUAAAUUUUCUCAACAAAUGUUUCUGUAUCUGUUCAAGAAUUUGAACAUAUAUUUGUAUACCAACAAGAAAAUACAUGAGAUUGAUUCAGAAAUAAGCCAAAACGAUAGCUAAAUUAUUAUGAGCUAUAAUGACUGAUUGAAGCAUAGGAAAAUAAAGAAUAGCACUGCCAUGCCAAGUUAUAAAAAAAUAAAAAUUGCACAAGAAUUUGCUCAUGAUGCACUAAAGAUUAUUAUGACUGCAGUGUCAUUCUUACAAUAAUGUAAAAUGAAGCCAUCAUCUAUCAUUGAGCAUAACAAUAUAUUCAUUUAUUUGUUGAUACAAUACUAAUUCUAUGAGAAUCUAUUCAAAUUGGUAUGCUCUAAGCUAGUAAGGGGGCUGCGGAGGAUGAUGAGGCCCUGGGGCAGGAGGUGGAGGAGGUCCUGGUGGACCUGGAGGAGGUGGCGUGUGCUCAAACAAAGGAGGUGGUGGACGGUGUGGAUUGAACGGAGGUGGUGCAAAAGGAUUAGGUGGAGGUGGUGGAGGGUGAGAAAAUGCGGGUGGCGGCGGUCCAGGUGGCCCGGGUGGUGGUGCAAAGGGGUCUGGUGGAGGUGGUGGGGGAUGCCUGUGGUGAGUCAUGCUCGUGAGGAAGUAGUUGAGUAAAUGAAUGUUUGUGGCUUGGGGCUGGACUUGUUUAUAUAGAUAUUAUAGAAGGAUGUAGAAACCAGAAAUAUAGUGUAUAUGACUAGUAGUUGAAUCGUGAAACUAAGAAUAUCG
rnacentral:lncRNA from 1 species